rnacentral:rRNA from 1 species
UACGUAGGCAGCGAGCGUUGUUCGGAGUUACUGGGCGUAAAGGGUGUGUAGGCGGUUGUUUAAGUUUGGUGUGAAAUCUCCCGGCUCAACUGGGAGGGUGCGCCGAAUACUGAGCGACUAGAGUGCGGGAGAGGAAAGUGGAAUUCCUGGUGUAGCGGUGAAAUGCGUAGAUAUCAGGAGGAACACCGGUGGUGUAGACGGCUUUCUGGACCGUAACUGACGCUGAGACACGAAAGCGUGGGGAGCGAACAGG